UUGGAGAUUAAGACUUGAUUAAAAAUAAUCAAAUAAUGAAAAGCAAGAGAAAAAAAGCUGGGUGCCCUCAGUUUCACCCUGCUUCCCUGUAAGAAGGGCCCAAAUGGGCAUUUUCGCCCUUGCAAUACAACUCUGAUAAAUUGGCUGCAAAUAGAGGGAUGAUUUCCCAGACUUCGGGAGUCCUUCUGAAGACUAACUUACCUCUUGGAGGGCAUCUUCACUCUGACAACUGGCAGUUUAGCCUGCAUGGAUGAGGUCAUAGAGCCAUCAGAAUUCCAAUGGAGUCGACAGGUGGCUUCCAAAGCUCACCUGUUCCAUCCUUUCUACACAUACCAAUGCUAGGCAAAUGCCUUUAGUGGGUGAUCAAACCAAUAACUAAAGCUGCCCAUCUCAUCAAUUCCAGGAGGAGAAAUGAAAAUGGCAAGCAAAGCCAGGAUGAGGGUGCAAGAGCCACAUUAACUGCAUGGGGCAGCAUUGAAAUGAGCAUUGUACUAAAAGAACCCUCGCAUGGGAAAAGGUGUCACGAGUCUCCUAAGCGUCCUGAUGAUUUUCAUCAACUGAAACUUUAUAGCGAGUACAAUCAAAAAAGUCCUUUAUUAUUCAGCCUGAGAAAGUCCCUUCUCGGACAGCUGAAAAGCUAGAAGUAUCUAGAAACUUUCUAUAUUACAAGAUUAUGAUAAAAAUAUAAAAGUUACAAGGAAGUACAAGAAACUCAUUAGGGAACGCAUAAAUUGAAUUGCUAACAAGAGAGCAAAGGUAACACUGGAUCAGGUUGGACGCAAAGGGGAGGGAAAAGGGUGAGUUGCCUUAUGAAUAAUCAAGAGGACAGUUUAUUGUCGGUAUGGAAGGAUGGAGUGUGCCAAAAAGUACAGAAGAGGCGAGAGUCUUUUUUUUCAAUGGAAGAAUUAACCAAGAACUCCCUAAUUUCCAAGCGUAUAGAAAGACCUGAGGGCACAAUGGAAAUUGGUAAGUUUCCUCAGAACCUUCUGGUAGCAACCCCUGAAUUGUAAGAUACAAAUGUUUCUUUUAAGACCAAAAACAGAGGAUCUAUCAUUCCUGUGGGAUUGAUAUUUGGAAAUGUUAUGGGUGCUUUAGCACUGCCGUGAUGCCAUAAACAUCAUGGUAUUUUCCAGAGGUCAAUGGAAAAGGCAGCUAGAAGUCUAAAGUGGAUCAUAACUGCUGAUGCUCUCUGCCAACUUCCUAAGAGUGAGAACGAUUAAUCCGUAGAAUGGCUUGCCUUCAGAAGCUGUGGAUGCUCCAUCUGUGAAGGCUUUUAAGAAGAGACUGAACUUGUCUGGAAUGGUAAAGGGGCCGUGAUGGUAAACCUAAUGCCAUAGGUAGCAUGCGGAGCCGUAUUUGCCGGCACGGCCCCCUUCACCUCUGGUGCCCAUUAUGAUUUUCGGCCUUCCACAGGGGCGGGGGGAGGCCGUUUUCGGCCUCCACAGGCCUCAGAAAAGCCUAGAGGGCAAAAAACAGCCCAAUAAGCCAACCAGAAGUUCAUUCUUCUGGUUGGCCAUUUCGGCCUGUUUUUCAUCCUUCCCAGGCUCUGGAGGCUUUCCUGAGGCCUAGGGAGGAUGAAAAUGGCUUCCCCCGGGCCCCUCCCCAGGAUUCAAGAAAGCAUUCAGAGCCUGUUGAGGGCAAAAAUCCCUCCCUGCGUGGAUGUUGUGCGCGCAUGUACAGGGGUCACAACUUUAAAAAACAGCUAGCUAUCACUGGUAUAGGGCCAAAAGAUUAGAACACAAAACCUCCAAGAUCCCUUCCAAUUACUGUUGUUUUCAUUGUGUUGCUGUGCAUGUACACCCAGAGCUUCUGCACUGUAGACAUGUUCCUUGCGUGUCUAAUUACACUUAAUGGAAUAAAAUAUUUAAUUUCAUUUGUAGUUUUAUUAUCAUGAUCAUGAUUAUCACAUAGCUUUUAUGUACAAUUAUGCACCGAAGACAGAUUCCUUGUGUGUCCAAUCACACUUGGCCAAUAAAAAACUCUACUCUCCUCUACUCUCAAUUACUCAGACAUGUAUCAUGACGGAAGGUCUUUCCACAUUCAAGCAAGUUUACAGGUUUUUUAAAAUGUGAAUCCUUUGA